rnacentral:rRNA from 1 species
CCUACAUGAAGCUGGAGUUACUAGUAAUCGCAGAUCAGAAUGCUGCGGUGAAUGCGUUCCCGGGUCUUGUACACACCGCCCGUCACACCACGGAAGUUGGGGCGCCCGAAGCCACUUAGCUAACCCUUUUGGGAAGCGAGUGUCGAAGGUGAAAUCAAUAACUGGGGUGAAGUCGUAACAAGGUAUC